CAAGAGAGAACAAAUAUAUUGUUAAAGAGAAAAGCUUUUGAUUUAGAGAAUAUCCUCCGUCUUCAUCAAUUCAUCCAUAAUUAAUAGAGAUGGAGAGCAGCAAUGUUAUGGCAAUCAAAUGUGGUUUAAUUGUUUGUCUAUUCCUAAGCUCGCUCUCCAUCGCCCAUUCCUUCUUCGACGAUAAAACUCAGGUUGAAAUAUGCUUCAAAUCUUGUUUAAACGUAUGUCUCUACGAUAAGAAAAGCAUUCGUUUUUUGUGCCCGUUGAAAUGCACCAAAAUUUGCGUGGCCGACCCGUGGACCAAAAACUUCCAAGCCCUACUGACCAAAAAGGAUUCGUCGUGUGAGCUCGACUGUGCAACUUCUAAGUGUACCAACUCAAUUAGCACGAACGAUAUUAUAGAUGAAAAAGAAAUGGGGAAGUGUGUGGAUUCUUGCACUCAAAAAUGUUCCAACAAUGAGAAUUGAUGAUGUGGAUCUCCUAAAUGAACCUUUACCUCUUUUUUUUCUUUCUUUUUCUCCACAAAAAAUAUAAGUCAGUUUUGUAUGAAACAAAUUUAUUGUUGUAUUGUUUCAUCAUAUUAUAAAUGAAACUCCAUUAUUUCUGUUGGAAGAAA